UACGAAGGGGGCGAGCGUUGUUCGGAUUUACUGGGCGUAAAGGGCGCGUAGGCGGCCCUCCUUGUCGCGUGUGAAAGCCCCGGGCUCAACCUGGGAAUUGCGCGCGAAACGGGGGGGCUUGAGUUCGGGAGAGGAGCGUGGAAUUCCCAGUGUAGAGGUGAAAUUCGUAGAUAUUGGGAAGAACACCGGUGGCGAAGGCGGCGCUCUGGACCGAGACUGACGCUGAGGCGCGAAAGCUAGGGGAGCAAACAGG
rnacentral:rRNA from 1 species